GAGAGUUAAACAGUACGUGAAAUUGUUGAAAGGGAAACGAUUGAAGCCAGUCGUACCUUCGGGUAAUCAGCCUUUUCGGGUGCGAUUCUGUGGGGUUUGAUGAGCUUAACACCUUCAUGCUCUGCAUAUUCGUGCUCUUGGGUGUACUUGCCCGUGUGGUUGGUUAACAUCAAUUUUGGUGGUCAUAAAAUGACUGGAGGAAUGUAGCUUCGAUCUUGUAUUGAAGUGUUAUAGCCUUCGGUAGAUGUGAUGAUCGAGAUUGAGGAUUGCAACGGAUACCCUUCGGGGCUACCUGUCUGGUCUCUGAUCGUUGCUCUGGUGCCGAAAGCUUGCUUACGGUUAUCAAAGUCGAUGGUCAAUAGGUUAGAACGGGUUAAAUUCGUUAAGGAUGUUGACGUAAUGGCUUUAAACGA
rnacentral:rRNA from 1 species